rnacentral:rRNA from 1 species
AUACGGAGGAUCCGAGCGUUAUCCGGAUUUAUUGGGUUUAAAGGGUGCGCAGGCGGGAGAUUAAGUCGGCGGUGGAAUUUUGCAGCUCAACUGUAAAAGGGCCUUUGGAACUGGUUUCCUUGAGUGUAGAUGAAGUAGGCGGAAUUUGGGGUGUAGUGGUGAAAUGCAUAGAUAUCACGAGGAACUCCGAUUGCGCAGGCAGCUUACUAAACUACUACUGACGCUCAGGCACGAAGGCGUGGGGAUCAAACAGGAUUAGAUACCCUGGUAGUCCACGCAGUAAACGAUGAUUACUAGCUGUUUGCGAUACAAUGUAAGCGGCUGAGCGAAAGCGUUAAGUAAUCCACCUGGGGAGUACGUUCGCAAGAAUGAAACUCAAAGGAAUUGACGGGG